AUGGAUGACCUCCUCCAGUCGACGCCAAGGCCCGCCUUCUGUAGUUCGGUGUCGCCGGAGUUCCCCCACCAUCAGAACAACGACGCCAUGGCGCCCGGAGCUCGUCCGGCCCCUGCCACCGCGGAUCCGGCGAGACCCUCCUUGAAUAUUGCGCCUGUGCCCUGGAUCCGCCGACCCUGCCGCCUCCGGCGACGCCCUUUCCUUCCCCGCUGUUCCUCGUGUCGUCUCCAUCCCGCGCGAGCCAGCGUCACGUGCUCCAGCGCCGCUGCUCCUCUGUCUUUCCUGUCGAACAGAGGAGACGCGCCCGUAGCCUCCCCGCCUCGUGCGUCUGGGUCAGCCAGCGCCAAGCCAGGCCCAAUGCGCCAGAUCCGGCCCGCCUGGCCUCCCCCCUCUUCAGCUGGGCCUUGGCCCUUGGUGAGUGCACAGCCGCCCCCUGUUACAGCCCAUUGCCUUUUUUUCUACCCUGCGAUUUUAGCAAUUAUGCAGUACUUUGGCAGUUUUGCAGAUAACCCCCUAAGCUCCAUGCAUAUCGUAACUCUCAAACCGUGCAUCGCAUGUAAAUGUUUUAUAUAUGAAACUUGA
rnacentral:rRNA from 1 species